rnacentral:lncRNA from 1 species
GAGAGAUGAAAGCUUGACACGAGCGUCGUCACUAUCCUCUGUUACUUUGGGCUUCCGCUCUCUCUCCCUCUUGUUCUUACCGAGUUAGGGAAUGCUACGGUCUUCGAUCGAGGAGGUGUAGGAGGAGGAGUCGGAUCCGACGAUCGAGGGUUCGAUGUUGAAUUCCAUCCCGAAAUGGCGUAUCAGGGCAAGCAGCUAAUCAAUGAUCCGACUGGUAUCCUCUGAUCAACCCGUUUGUGAUCGUUUUAGUUUAAUGACGAUGGGGGUUUUGUAGUGGCGCUAUUCUUGGUUCUUGAAUUUGAGCGGAUGCCCUUGUCCAAGUGAUCGAUGUAGGGGUUUCUCAGAUGCUGGAACUCGUGUUGUGUGGACAGUUCUCUUAUGUUGCCUGAAUUUCUUGUUUGAAUCGAUGGAUGUGAUGAUCGUGAUUAAUCUGCAUGCGUGACAUUGGGAAAAACCGAUCAUCGCAUGCGGACGCCCGAUACAUAUAUAUCUUGGUUUGCUGGCAGUAUGGAUCUGCUAUAUCUUGCAAUGCUUGAUGUUUGAUCAACGCCCGGGAGUUUGUAGUGGCUAAAUCUUUGGUUCUUGAUUCUAACUGGAUGCCUUCAGAUCAGGCGUUCAUUGUAGAGUUUUUCCCUUGAAUUAGAUAUUCGAUGAUGUUCAUCGGAGAGUGUUUGUUUUGCUCUGAAU